rnacentral:lncRNA from 1 species
CAAGAUUUUUGUGGUUUUAUGUCUAGUUCAGACAACUAACCUGUUACAUUAAAUAUUAUUUUUUUAAUUGGUUUGUACAGCAGAAGCAUUUGGAAAGUCCAAAUGUUUUCCAAAUGUUAAUUCGUUGUCACACUAUUUUUCUGUCCCUGUUAGACCGUAAGCUCUAAAGUGUGUGUUACAGAGCCAGCUAUGUUCAGGGUAUUAAACAAAAGCAGCAGGGCAAAUUCAGACUGAUGAAGCUCAGCUGGGUUGGUGUAUCUGGUUCGGUAAGUACUCACUGUCCAAAGCCUAAAAUAUCUCAUUAAAAAUGCCGCUCUUCUCUUUUUUUACAGACCUUGAUUUUCAAAGGGGAAAGCUUUCUUCUCUCUGCGGGGAUCUCAUGAGCACAGAUCUGAGCUAUUGGGAAACAAUACUAAGUUUUUGGAACAGGACACCGUAUAGGUCUUUGACGAAAUCCAGGGCUGGGCAGCAGCAUGGAUGCAACCAGCUUGUUUGGGAGUGGGAAGCCCCAGAUACUGAGAACGUGAACCAUUCUGAACCACGUGGCACAAGGCAAGGGGUGCCUCUGGAGUGAAUGCAUUCAGCGAUGGAGAUACAAAGAUUUACCACUUACUCAAGGUGAUCAAUGGCCAAACCCAUAACUGUGUUAGCAGCAACAAACUACAGCCAUCAGAACUUUUGCCUUGCCUCCUGGCUCCAGCAUGUACAUUUGCAUGCAUUGCUCCUAUCCAUAUUUCAUGUAUUGUUUUUUGUAUCUGAGGUAUCCAAACACAUUAGUGGGUAUCAUUCCACAGAAAUGUACAGAUAAGUCUAUAUACCUAGCUUUGGCUCCCCAUUCAGUGCAUGCACUGGGACCCAAACUGUAUUCAGAGUUUAAGUGAGCAAUACGACUUUGUACAGGCCUUCUCCACUGCAACUUCUAAAGAAAAAUAUCUGCAAUCCAAUGACUUGGAAGACCACAAGUCAGCUCUUUGGGUACAUUAUACCUCUUCAUAAUAAAACAGAUGCCUUGUUGACCUGGGAAAACA